UACGUAGGUGGCAAGCGUUGUCCGGAGUUAUUGGGCGUAAAGCGCGCGCAGGCGGCCUCUUAAGUCUGAUGUGAAAGCCCCCGGCUCAACCGGGGAGGGCCAUUGGAAACUGGGAGGCUUGAGUAUAGGAGAGAAGAGUGGAAUUCCACGUGUAGCGGUGAAAUGCGUAGAGAUGUGGAGGAACACCAGUGGCGAAGGUGACUCUUUGGCCGUAUAACUGACGCUGAGGCGCGAAAAGCGUGGGGAGCAAACAGG
rnacentral:rRNA from 1 species